rnacentral:lncRNA from 1 species
UCACACAAAUUAAUUUGAGAUGAUGAAUUAAUGUUUGAAAAUAUUUUUGUGUAGAGAUAGAGAUAGAGAUGAGUUACAGUUGUGCUGGUGUGACAUCGGUGAGGGCCAAUCGUGCAGUUUUGAUCUUCUCCUUGAGGAAAAAUGAAGCUUGUUUCUUGAAUUCAUGAAAUGUAGGUGUAGGUGUUGGAUUCAUGUUGAGUACUGCUUCCUACCAUUGACAUUUUUGUUCAUAUCAUCCUACCUAU